rnacentral:rRNA from 1 species
CCACCGCCCCGAAGGGGACGAAAAAUGGUUUUUAGAGAACGAGAAGACGGUUACGCAGUUUUGCCGCAAGCUGGCUGCUGAACGCCCUCUUAAGGAUAUUCGCGAUGAGUAUAAUUACCCCAAAAAGAAAGGUAUUAAGGAUGAGUGUUCAAGAUUGCUGGAGGCCUCCACUAUGAAAUCGCGUAGAGGCUUUGCUAUUCAGCGUUUGAUGAAUGCAAUGCGACAGGC